ensembl:miRNA gga-mir-6611 gga-mir-6611
CAUUUCUGCUCUGGUUCACAUGCUUUGCUGGAUCCAGUGACACUUCAGUUUUCUGCUUCAGGAAGUGCUGCUGAAUAGAGCAGGAAGUGUGAACCAACAGCAGCUAGAAU